rnacentral:tRNA from 3 species
GGGGUUGUAGCUCAGCUGGCUAGAGCGCUUGCAUGGCAUGCAAGAGGUCGGGGGUUCAAGUCCCCCCAACUCCACCA